GGGGAAUUGUUCGCAAUGGGCGAAAGCCUGACGACGCAACGCCGCGUGGAGGAUGAAGAAUUUCGGUCCGUAAACUCCUGUCGAGCGGGACGAAAGAUGCGCGGGUUAAUACCCCGCGCAAGUGACGGUACCGCUAAAGGAAGCCCCGGCUAACUCCGUGCCAGCAGCCGCGGUAAUACGUAGGGACCAAGCGUUGUUCGGAUUUACUGGGCGUAAAGGGCGCGUAGGCGGCAAUUCAAGUCAUCUGUGAAAUCUCCGGGCUUAACUCGGAACGGUCAGAUGAUACUGCUUUGCUAGAGUACAGAAGGGGCAAUCGGAAUUCUUGGUGUAGCGGUGAAAUGCGUAGAUAUCAAGAGGAACACCUGAGGUGAAGACGGGCUGCUGGGCUGAUACUGACGCUGAGGCGCGAAAGCUAGGGUAGCAAA
rnacentral:rRNA from 1 species